AGAAACUUGGGUCUGCCUAGGAGCACCAGUGGUGACCUGGCAUUGCAACAAGAUAGCAGGAGAGCUGAACAAGGCUAAUAGGUGAGGAUGAAGCCCACCAAACAGUAAACCCCUUCUGGGGUCUGCAAGGAACAAAAUGAUGUGGUUAUAAAUGAAGAUGUUGGAGACGUCUGCAGAAAAUGCAAGGCACCUGAGGCUGAUCCUUCCCAGAAAUUAAU
rnacentral:lncRNA from 1 species